rnacentral:rRNA from 1 species
CCGACGUCCUGUCGGGGAGGUGCGUUAGUACGUGGGGGUCAACCGUUAUCCGGAAUUAUUGGGCGUAAAGGGAGCGUAUGCGGACAGGUUAGUCAGAGGUGAAAUCCCAGGGCUCAACCUUGGAAUUUCCUUUGAUACUGACUGUCUUGAGUUUGGGAGAGGUGUGUGGAACUCCGAGUGUAGAGGUGAAAUUCGUAGAUAUUCGGAAGAACACCAGUGGCGAAGGCGACACACUGGCCCAAUACUGACGCUGAGGCUCGAAAGCGUGGGGAGCAAACAGGAUUAGAUACCCUAGUAGUC